rnacentral:rRNA from 1 species
CGUAAGGGGCAAGCGUUGUCCGGAAUCACUGGGCGUAAAGGGCGCGUAGGCGGUUUUGUAAGUAGAAGGUGAAAGAUUCGGGCUCAACCCGAAAACUGCCUUCUAAACUGCAUUACUUGAGGGUCUGAGGGGAAGCUGGAAUUCACGGUGUAGCGGUGAAAUGCGUAGAUAUCGUGGAGAACACCCGUGGCGAAAGCGGGCUUCUGGCAGACUCCUGACGCUGAGGCGCGAAGGCUAGGGGAGCAAACGGGAUUAGAUACCCCGGUAGUCCUAGCUGUAAACGAUGGAAACUGGGUGUGGGAUCUUCGGAUUCCGUGCCGGCGCUAACGCAUUAAGUUUCCCGCCUGGGGACUACGAUCGCAAGAUUA